rnacentral:lncRNA from 1 species
AAUUUGUUAAUGUUAAUAAUUUUUUAACUUUAAAAUUUUAUUUGUUGCAUUAUUAUAAUUUAUAUGUAAACAAAUAAUAUAAUUUUUUUAAAUUUUAUUUUAUAAUUAUACAUAUAUAUAAUUAUAUACAUAUAUAAUUAUAUUAAUUUUUAUUUAAUAUAAUUUAUUAUUCACUAUAGGUUACAAAAUAGACAAUAAUAUCACUUCGGAGGUAAGUAUGCUGGGGUGAAGAGCUACACUUUUUACUUUAUCUAUUUCCUACCAAACAAACAAUAGAACUCGCAGAACUGCACUUCCACAGUUAGAAACACACAGCAGAAGCGAACUAAUUUUCACCCCAACUCCACUUCAAUCCUAAGUCCACUUCCACCCCAAGUCUACUUACGUUGAAACAAACAUACCCUUUGUGUU